GGGGAAAUAUAGGCCAACAGUGUGUUAUGCAAUGGUAUUCCCUAAGGGGCAGUAUUAGGACAUGAUUUCCUUCUGUCAAGAUGAAAAACAGCAGCAAAGUUGCUCUGCAGUGUUCUGCCGUGGGUUGCUCCCUCAGGAGCAAUUCAGGCAGGGACCUGGGACCAUGUAAAUAGCAGAUCCACCAUCUACUAGUAUCGUUUUGCACCCUUCCACAGCUAAUUCCUUCUUAAUAUUCCUUUGCAACAUCCUUCCUUAUAAAGAACCUGGAAGGUGGAGUGGGACCAUUAUAGCUAAAAAGGAAGUCAGUCUACCAGGAGGGGAAAGUUUAGAUUUUAAUGCAUCUCUCUCCCAAGCACCAAAAGAGUGAUGAUGUAGAGUUGUAGUGCACCAGGAUAGAACAGAGACUCUGAGUAUAGAAAGUUAUACCGAAGCAAGGGAGUGAGAAAUGGCUCAGAGGGGCUCAUAAUUAUGCCAUUUGUAUGAAAUUAACAGUAAGACUAGAUUGGAAGAGAAAUAGACAUUUUACGUAAAGUAGUGGAUUUAAUAUUAGUUUAAUAUGCACGCUUGACCUUGGCCUAAGGACUGAGCAAAAGAACAGACAGAGUUGAAUUAUCCAGGAUGUUAUUGGCCAGAAUGUGAUUUGAAAGGUGACAGGCUGGUGACAAUCCAGAAUUAUAUCCAAAGUCGUGCUAAGACUGUCAGCCAGCCUCUGUUGGCUGCAGAUGCUCAGAAUCCUUGGUUUAGUUCUGAUCAUAAGAUGACACCUCUACUAGUACAAGAAAGACAUAUAGGUUUGUUUCAGACUUAGCAAUUUUUAUCCACUUUUUUUCAGGAUUUCAGUUUCUGUUAUCAGUUUAUGCUCCCUAAGAGCAGAUUGUUUUAAACCAAUGUAUCUUCACAUACUUGGUGCCUGAAACCAUAAUUUCUAUUCAGUUCAACAUCUGAGGUGAACAAAAAAAACUAUGUGCAUCUUUGUGCACAGUUCUACCCUGUGAUUUUGGAGAAUGAUAAGCAGAGACUGCUAGACCGAGGUGCCCUCUUUUAUUAUUUAUUUACUCAUUUGUUACUUGCUCUCUGUGAAAUUUGUUUUUUUUUUUUAAGUCUUAUUUUACACUGUUAUGCUGCAUUUUGUAUAACCAUACUUUCAAAAGUUCCCCAGUUUGGAAAUAUAUAACUUAUUUCCUUUGUUCCUCAUUCUUUAUACAGAUCUAGGAUCUUUUCCAUUGUUGAAAAUUGCUUGUAAGCGGAAGUAUUGGAAUAUGUCAAUGUGUGCAGGAGGUAUGAACAGUUAGGUAUGCUUAUGAGAAAGUUCCACCUUCUUUUAAGUGUCCUGGAAGAGAAAUCUGAUGAAACCUAAUCAGUCUUGGAACUGAACUGCUUACCAUUGUCACACAUUUGAGUUUUGGCAGGUUCACAGGCAUAUACAUCGCCAAACAAGAUCUGCCGCAAAGAUAAGAGAUUCACUUCUCUCCAGCAUUCCUUAUUCAGGCAGAACUCCAGUUUUGGGUGUGGAAGGAAUGCAGAACUGGGCCUAGAGCUUGUGUCUGCGCAGGUUAGAAGUGAACUUUCAGUGUAAAAUUUGGAUCUGAAUCUGCAUCUGUAUUUUGCUGGAUGAAUACAGACAUUUGGAUGCAGCUUUCUUGUUUGGGUGUUCUUUGGGGCUGAGUCAGUCCUUGUGUUUCUGAGAUGAUCCAGACUUCUCUGUAAUUAGUUUACAUCCCUUCUGUUUGAUUCCAUGAGAAGAUAGGUAAGUCUGUCUUUAGGUAGCAGAGAUUUCCCAGACAGAUAUUGUAAACUUUCAGUACCUAUAUAACCUAAUACCGACAUAGAGUUUUCUUAAAAAUGUCCUUUGGGCCUGAAAUGCCUUGUGCUUGGUUUCAACCCAGUAUUGAAUAAGACCUGGAAAGUCUGAAUAAUGUCAGUUCAGCUGCAUUUGAGUUAUUCAAAUGCAUUUUAAAAAUAUGUACUUUCCACUUACAUUUUUUCCAUAAUUCUUUGCACUUACAUAACCUCUAUGUAAAUUGCCACAUUUGAGAAGAGGAAAAAAGUCAUCCUCCAGUGCUAGGACUCAACAGAUAACCAAAUGGGGAGGAAACUGAGAGACCCCAGUGUGCUUCAGGGUUACAGUGUUUACUGUGCAGAGAUAGCAUGAGCAGGUUUACAUUUCUAUUAGUGCAGGCAAAAUACAAUGGAAAUAACAUUCAGUUAUUGUCAUUGGAUCUUACUCCUAAUUCCACUGGGGCUGAGUUGACCCUCCCUUUUCUCUGGAGUGUUCACAUUCCAAUGUGUUGUGCCACCAACAUCAUUUGUUAACAAAUGAAGAAUUUAAAUAACAUUAGAAAAUCAAUGCAAACAAACAUCAGAAGUGCAAAACAAAUAAGUAGCAGUGCAAAGUAUCUUAAAAUAGUUUGAGCAUGAGUUCUUCAAGAACAAUAACACAAGUCUAAGGCAUGUGUGCUCUGAAAGAGGUUUGGAAAAGAGCAUGUACUGCAUAUUCUGGAAAAGUCUCUGGUCCGAACAUACUUUCUGCAUCUACCCAGACUGACUUAUAUCUCCAGAUCUGUAGUAAUAUGUGGUGAAUCUUUUUCCACAAUGCUUGUGAAUUUGUCUCUGUUUGUAGAUUAAUAUAAAGCAAUGAGCAAGUAUACUAUAACCUAGAAUUGUCAGAUUAUCUUUACAGUACAGUAAGCCUGUAGCUUAUUAUAAAAUAUCUCUCUUGAGUAAACCAAAUCAUUUGGAACAUGAUGCUGUUUUGUCUAUUAUAUCAAAUGUAUCGUGUCAUUGCUGCUGUAAGUAUGUCUGGAUUUAAUUCUGGAUCUGGAUUUGUAUGUUGCUGGGGUUGCUUGUCAGCAUGUGCAUCUUGUAUCUGAAUGGCUGUUUAUGAAUUUUGAGGAGUGCCCAAGUAAUUUUCUGCCAAUACAGUCUCUGGCUGUACAUUCUUGAUGGUUUUGUCGAGGAACACAAAUGUGAGUUCGUAAGAUCAAGGAUCCAUGUACUGGUUUUUGGAGGGUCAUACUGCAAGUGAGGGAAAGCUGCCGGGGGACAUGAGGAGAUAGAAGAACAUCACAGGGCCGUACUGUUCUAUCAGCCAGGCAUGGUUCUUCAUUAGCAGAAAGGCUUAUCACUGUGGUGCUUUUCAGCCUUCUGGAUGCUGCUGUCAUCAUAUCAGGCUCAUUUGACAAGGUGUGUGAUCACUGUCUUCCACAAAUGAUGCCUGCCUGAUACUAAAGAUCAGGUCAGUGCACACGUGGUUUAAUGUCACUGGACUCAUAACAAUACUGUGGUAUUUAACUGUUUUGCCUGUGUGCUGUCCUGAAAUUUAAAGCUAUUUGAUUGUGAUUUCAUUGAUCAGUUCAGCUUCUUGAACUGUCAGUGAAACCGUAGCUGCAUGAAUAUAAACUACGCAUUUGGCCAUCUGUCUUUGCUUUAGAUCUCUUUGCAGCUCUAUGAACUACAACUAAACACAAGCCUACCGUCAUUUUCCUACAAGCCAUGUUCUGAAAGUGACUGUUAUUUGACCUCAUUCUUAUAGCUCAGUUGGAGCUCAUGAAUUAAGGAUCAGUAUGUACAGUGAUAUGAUUUGACACCUCCCAUCUUUUUCUCAUUGGUCAUAUGUAACAGCUCUUCAUGCUCUUGAGUGGUUUUGCCUGCUAGCAUUACAAUUCAUUCCAUCCCCUCUGAAAAGGAACUGGGCGAAUUUGCUUAGAGGGAGAGCUGUUCUGUAUGGUGGUACCAUCCUAUUCUGCAGGGGUGCUCUCAAAUAUACAAAUAUAGUUGGUAACAAAAACUCAGUCAAUUUGCAUCACAAAAAUAAUUAUUGCUCUAUGAGGCAUGAAGAAUUUGCACAGAUUUUUUUUUCCAAUUGAGAAUUGUAGAUGUUCUACACUUGCUUUCUAGCCAUCGAAAGGUCUGUUCUGCGCUUAAAUGUAACACUACUAUAUCUUUGUCUCAGAUGAGUAUUUUUAAUGGCAUAGCCAUAUGACAUUAAAAGCUUUUGCAGCUAUAUUUAUGUAUGCCAGUGUAAUUUAUUCUUUUUUUCAUGAUGCUUUAUAGCAGUACAUCUGUACUAACAAAGUCAAUUUAGCAUCUUAAGUAAUGCAAGUAAUGCUUCUCUUCAUCUGUAAAGUUCCUAUCUAUGUUGCAGAUUCCUGCUGUCGUAGCUAAAUUGGGUAUGGAUUGUGUAGGAUGAUGUCUUUGACCAUCAUGGUUGAAUUAGCAGAAGAUGCAUAUAUAGAAACUGUUACAGUGCACAGUGAACUUAGUAUAGAGGAUGCUGAUAGAAAAUACAGCUUUGUUGGAUUGCUUUGUUCCUUCCAGAAGCAUCUUAGUAGUAAAUAAUACCAGUAUUCUGAUAGCAGUGAGGUGCUGAUAAUGUAGCUAUACACUAUUAUUUACGUUAUCUACAGUCUACUAAUACAUUUCAAAAUUAUUCUAGAUUUAUUACACACCCAAAGUUUUCUGGUGAAGCUCUAUAGACUUGUGUUAUGAAGGUUCUGGCAUAGCUAUGAGUGCCAAGAGAAAUGCUAAAAUAUAAAAUUCAAAAAGAUUAGCUCUACUAGCAAAAUGCUCGUAUAGAAUGCUUCUUUUGCCAGAAUUAUCUGCAUCUUUUGAGGUAGAAGUAGAAAUAAACUGUCAAAAGUACUCACUUAUCUCUUUUGUGGGAAUUUUGUUGUCAUACUUCAGCAUAGAUGCAGAGUAAACCGGUACAAGGUCUAAGGAAAACUCCCUGGGAUGCUGAAAAACAUGAACCACUAUGCAGCUGCAUAUGCAACCACUCUGCUAGUUACAGUAAAAUCUUUGAGUCCUCGGGGAGCAAAGACUAGAGACUUGAGACAGAGAUCUGAUUGAUUUUUUUUUUUUUUUUUUUUUUGAUGCACAAACAAAAUUCAUUUUCAUGAGUGACUCUUGUCACGUUUGUUGAUGGUAUUCAUGACAUUUCAAGGGACCUUGAAAUUAGAUUAGCACUUGGCCUAAGCACGGUUUGAACUCAAGUGUUUCUGCUACAGAGCAACUUCUGCUUAGCACUUCAAGUUAUGUGUAUCUUUUUUCCAGUGAGUAGCUCACUUGUGCUUAUUCUUGGUGACUGAGAAGAGCCUGUCACUACCAGGAAUUUAUUAUCUCUGGCAGAAGUCUUGUUAAUGUCAGUUAUUGAUAAGUGAGAAGGUAAACAUGCGGCUGAUUAGGUGCUGCACUUUUAGUGCUUUACCACUAGUCUGUUUUCAUGCCACAGCACACAGUGGACCUCCAAAGAAAGGUUCUUCUACUGUACAUUAUUUUUUAAAAUCUUUUUUACUCUGUGGUUUUGGUUUCCAUUUAUCUACUUUUUGCUCCUUUCCAAAGUAGAUCUAUUUUUUUUUGUUUGUUUGUUUGCUAAUUUCACUGGCAUGAGAGAGAUCAUUUUCUUGUCUUGCUAGGAAUACUUCUAAGAAAUACAUGGCAAGUUUAGUAACUUCUAAUGAAGAAUGAAAGGAAGAUUUCACAUACCAAAACAGACGCUGUAUUUGCUGACUGUGAAAUAUUUGAAUUUAAAAGCAGUAACAAAAUCACAGGGCUGAAGAAAGGAAGUUUGUGGAGGCCAAGACAGUUGUGAACUCUGUAAUCAGUUGUUCUGGUGGAAGGCAUCACCACACUCCUUUAGAGAUCUCUUGUCAGAACUGUUUAUGUCAGCUCUCCUUACCCAACUUUCAGGAAAAUAAAUGUUUUAGAAUAAGCACUUGAAACAGCAGUCUUUGCUAAGCUAACAUUUUUAGACUGGAAUAGGUUUAAGGAGCAGUAGGUUUAACGAUCAAUAUAGAUUAUCUUGGUCUUGCAAAGUCAAACUCUCCAGAAGUGAGUCUGUGAGUUUAACUCUUUUGAUUUAUGAUUUUGACAAGUGUAUCGUUGUAGUUCUGUUUAGGUCUGAAAUAAUCCAAAAGUAUCUUCCAGGCAGAAUCAGACUGACAAAACUUGAAGAUCUAGUUUAAAAGUAAAUGCAAUCUGGUUUAGACUGCGUUUUGAUUAACUAUUCAUUUUACCAUAUGUACCCUAAUAUACAUUACUCUGUCGGCUGUUUCCAAAGCAAUCUACUUUAGAGUGUUUAAUAUUUAAGGACCAAUUAUCUCAAUUUUGUUUUGUUUGGAUAGUUUGCAAUUAAGCAUUCUUUCAAGUGGGCUUUAUUUAGCUAAUUCCAUCACAAAAAUAAGAUCUAGGAGAAUGAAGAGAAGUUCAAGCUAGCCAAUGUUUAUUUUUACUAUUAAUAAUUUAUAUUACCAUAGUCCCUAGGGGAAGAAGGGCCCCACUAAACCCAGUUUGCUCUGCGUGUAAUGACCAUGUCUCACAUAGUCUUAAACAGCAGAUGGUUCUUUCUUGCUGCUGUGCAUCUGAUCUGUGCUGUAAGGGAGCAGAUUGAUGAACAACGUAUGAAGACAAAUCAAGAAAAUUUUUCUAAAAGAUUUCAAGCUAGGAAUUGGAGGGGAAACCUGAUGCAUCUUUUUAUAAAAAAAUCAGCACUGAUUCAUUCUUCCAGUAUGGGACCAAGUCAUGGUCACAACAGUUUCUUCGUUCUCUGAACGUGUCUGUGGGAGCAAGUUUGAGCAGAGAAGCAACGGUGCUAAAAAAAAAAAAAAAAAAAAGAUUCUGAACUAGCAGCAUAAGACUCCAUAUUUUAAGGCUGCGCUGGUAGGCUAAGUUAAUUUAAAAAUUAUUCACUUUCAUCACAUUUUCAUCAGAAACUGAGGUUUUCGAAGCAUCUGAUCUCCUUUCUGUUUUACAGAAGCCUUGAAAAAUGUGAUUUAGAGACUUCUUACUCUUGCUAAAUGCAAAGACACAGAGAACCAGAUCCUGAACUUCUAUAAAUAGAUUGAUUACAAUAGAGUUACAGCAGUUGAUAUCAAAUGAAGAUCUGGCCUUCACUUUAUGGGAUACUCCUGUGAGCUGAUGGAUGGAACUGAAACUGGGGUCAGCAAGGCUGCAAAAUGGGAGAGCCUUGACGUCAGCGCAGCUGUGCAGAUUUUCUCAGUGGAUUUACCACCCUUCUCCCCUCCCCUUGUGUGGAGGCACCAGUCUUUUCUGCACCGUUUCCAAAAUUUCAAAUUCAAAAUCUAGACAGAAAUGUUCCUGUCCUAUCUGUUCCAUAUUCCUGCCCUCAUUAGUUCAGUUUAAAGGGAGUAAAACCUCUGUUUCCAAGUACAGCUGUGUGGUAUGUAUGCUUUUUUUCUCCAUACCGAAUCUCUAAAUCUGGACAUUUAAGACAGAUUUUAUAGGAGCCGGAGUUGGGCUGUGCAAAGUUCACCUCAUUAAGAGCAAACUCAAACCAAAUAAAAGCAGAGAAUAACAGCAUAAAAAAUGUGGGCCAUGAAUGUCAGAGCAUAUGUAUUAGGAACUGGUAGGAAAUGAAGGGAAAAGUACAGAUAUAUACACAUAAACUGGAAGGUUGGGGUUUUUUUUCCACAAGGAAAUGUACAUGGCUAUGGAGUGUCUACAGAAAGGCAACUUUGGUAUAGUGUUGGUAUGCUAUGACACCUUCCCUUUAGAAAAUAUGAAUACAAGCCUGUGUUAGAAGAUACUGUGGAAAUUCAUCCUAGAUAAAAUGUUUAAAUAUGCCAAAUUAUUUUUGGAAAUUCAGCUGUUAACUGAUGAGAAACAUUCUUGCUUGUCAUAAUUUUGAUGUCCCUUUCUAAAAAUUACACCCUUUUCAAUUAUCUUAAAAUAGGUACCAAGAUUCACUAAUCAGUACUGGAAAUACCGACUGAGAAGAAAGCUUGAAAAACAGGUCAUCUUGGACCUGAAAGUUGAGUCCUGUGUUCAAAGAGCUACACUAGAAACAUUACAACAGAGACACUACUUCCAGCACAGGAGAAGCUGUCUGAGGAACCAGAGUGGAGAAAGAGGUGAGCAGGAAAAUUGCAAAGGAAAGGCAAAAUUUACUUCUUAGUGGUUCAGAAACGGACAAUACAAGUACCAGGGGAAAAAAUAUUGAAAAACUCAUUGCAGAAUCCAGCAGACUUACUGAUUGGCGGUCAUGUCAGUCAAACUCACAUUCGUCUCUUCUGGUGAUGGAGGUGGUAUCAGUAGGAGUUGUUCCUUCACUGGAUUCAGCACUGUACAAAGCAGAAAGUUAGCAAAGUCUCUUGGCAGAAGCUCAGUGAGAUCAAGAAUGUCACUGAAAUCCCCCAAGGCUUAUUCUUCAUUGCAGAAAGGGGCAGUCAUCUGGGAUCCAAAACCACUGCAGGUGAAGAAAAUUUUUGAAGCUUUGAAGAAAGGACUUAAUGAGUACCUGGAAGCACAUCAGACUGAAUUGGAUUAUCUCUCUGAUCGACACAAAGAUACAAAAAGGAACUCCAGAUUGGCCUUCUACUAUGACCUUGAUAAGCAAAUUCGCUCUGUGGAGAGAUACAUUAGAAAACUGGAGUUCCACAUAAGCAAAGUAGAAGAACUCUAUGAAGCUUAUUGUAUCCAGUGCAGACUACGAGAUGGGGCCGCUAAUAUGAAACAUGCCUUUUCCUUGUCUCCUUCCACCAAAGCCUCCAGGGAGAGCCUAGUGGAGCUCUAUAAGAACUUUCAGGAGUGUACAGAGGACAUGUGCUUCAUAGAAGGGGCGUUAGAGGUCCAUUUAGGAGAGUUUCACUUGAAGAUGAAAGGCUUGGUGGGAUUUGCACGUCUCUGCCCAGGUGACCAGUAUGAGGUUUUUGUGCGACUGGGACGCCAAAAAUGGAAGUUGAAAGGCAAGAUUGAGACUGAUGACAGCCAAACGUGGGAUGAAGAAGAAAAGAUCUUUAUACCCAAUCUCCAUGAGCAGUUUGAAAUCAAGCAGGUGACAGAACUGCGAGGACUGGCCACGGUUCUAGUUGGUGUUGUGACAUGUGACAGCAUAAACUUCUUUACUACCAAGCCUCAAGCAAUCAUUGUGGAUAUAACUGAACUGGGCACUAUCAAGCUACAGCUGGAAGUCCUCUGGAACCCCUUUGAUGCAGAGAACCUGUUCUUGUCACCUGGAACCACUGCCAAGUUUUCUGUAGGUAGCAGGAAGAGCUCUUUAUACAACUGGACCCCACCAAAUACUCCCAGCUUCAGAGAGAAAUACUACCCGUCUGCUUUGCAACAAAGACAGAACCAAGGGGAUGUAAGUGGUGAAGCUCAGCCUCCUAGCAUAUUGAGUUACUUGGCUGCCUGUGAUUUUGGUGUACAUGAGAGGAGUAAACCUCACAGUCCUGCAGAGACAAGUGAAGGAGACUCAUUCAGCAAUGAAGAUCAGAGAGGGACAGAAUCCAGAAUUACAGCACCAGUUCUAGACCAUAGGACAUUGCCAUUGGUGAUUAUUCAAGAGACUUGUGCAGAAGAGCAACAUCCUCUUCCAAAUCAUGCAACUCUAGAUAUUUUGAAGACUCCAUGUGUGGACACAUUUCCAAGUAACCCAUCUAAUUUUCUGAGUCAUGGAAAAGGUGGUAGACAUUUAAACCAGACCAGAAAUCACCAUCUGACAGAACAAGAAAGCAUUAGCCAGAAAAGCUUGAAUGCUGCAAAUGGCAUAAAACUGGAUGGAUGUACAAAGUCAAUUGACAAGACUCUCCAAGAAGUGUUAAAUUUGCUAAAAUUUCAUGGUGUUGGUCAAGCCCAGCUGGAGAAAUUGGAAUACCAAGUUUCAACUCUGAGGGAUAAAUUAAAGCUAAGGACACUUAAUCACAAACAUUCAUCUGUGGAAAGUUUAAUGGUGGAGACGGUGCUGGAAAGUUUUAACUUUUUAAAUGCUGACUGUAGUGCUGAUGAAGUUUCAUUAUUUGGAAGCAUAAGAACAGCCAGUAUCAGCACAUACAAUGACAACAUGUUUCAGUCCCUGAGCUGUGAUAUGAAAACAGAAACAAGCGAUGUAACUACUGGUGAUGACAACUUAGAUGUACUUUUAAUAACUCAUCUGAAGCUGUGCAAAGCUCUUUUGCAGAAACUGAGGUUGCCAAAUGUAGCCCAGAUUGUCCAAGAGAACAUUUUGGAAGAAGUGUCAGAGCAGUUGCAAGUCCUGGGGGAUGUCUUGGAUAUGUCUGUUGAAGAAAUUAUCCAGAAGACGAAGAAGAAGAAGCACUAUCUGAAAAUCUGGAGUGAUGUUGCAGAACCUGGCAGUAUCUUGUUUGCUUCAGCAGAAAGAUUCCGUCAUGUACUGAAGUACACUUUGGCACUCAAAGUGAAGGAAAAGUACCCUGGCCAAUUAGAAGCAGUUUUGCGAAAAUUGCUGGAGCAGAUUGUCACCUGCGAUGGCUUGCUGCCCUCUCCAUGUCUCCAAACAGAACCAGUUACUUUAUUCCAAUUUUAUAGCUACCUGGAGAAGCACCAGAUUACCAGCCUGGAAAAACAUAUAGGAAGACUUGCUAAAGAAGUGAUGCUAAUUGAGGAACUACAGUGCCCUGGACGGCUGAAGACCCUUAAAAAAUUGAAAGGGAAGCGUCUGAAUCGGCUCCAGCCUCUGCCGCAGUCUUUGUGGCUACUUGGGAUUUUACAGCUUGAUGACAACCACCGCGUCAGCAAAGCAGCCACAUCCUGCCUCUCCCGUGCAGCAGCAAACAAGAACUUUAGGGAAAAGGCUCUCCUUUUUUACACUGAUGUUUUAGUUGGCUGUGAUGCAAGACUUCAGCAAGCUGCAUGUUUGGCCCUUAAAAAUCUCAGAGGCAUAGAGAGUAUUGAGCAGGUUGCCCACCUGUGCCAAUCUGAAACAGAGGAUGUAAGGAAUGCAGCCAGGGAAACAACACUGUCCUUUGGUGAAAAGGGACGACAAGCCUUUGAGAAAAUGGACAGGAUUUGCUGUGAAUUAAGGGAUGCUGUGCAACAGGAGGCUGAAAUUGAGAUCACAGUAUUUUAGUUGUGGAGUUUAAGGGAGCUAAGUCACACUGUCCUCACAGCCGCUUAAGGAUUUAUUAACAAGUACGGGACAGGCGUUCCUCGCCUCGGAAGAGAAAUAAACAUUGUUCAGUGCAGAUUUGCGAGUAAUUCAAAGCAGGCGCCGGUGGCUCUCUGGCACUGAGGAAACACACAGCGAUGGGAACCGGGUACGUUCUUUAAAAAAAGAGUUUUAUUGUUACAACUGAAAUGGGAACUGAAAACUUGUCUGGGAAAUUGAGAAAACUGUACAGUUUUACUAUAACUUCUGAGGUCUUUGCAGUGGCUUACACAAAAGACAAGAUACCUGAAAAUGUAUUAUACCAAAACAUUUAACUUUUUUGGUUUUUAAUUUUUUAGAAAAGUUUAUUCUAUGGCAAUCUGUAAAAAAAGAAAGACCUGAUGCGUAAAUAUUUGCUUAAGGCAGAUAGCAGAGCAGCUCACUAACUUUCUAACAAGUUUAACACAGAUAUUUGUCCAUUUUCCAAGAACAGGUUAACCAAUACACCCACUUUGAAAUGCUACUGUAUAUACACACCCAAACUACUACAUACACAUACAGGACACCAAAACAAAAGUGUUUACAGUUCAGUAUUAUAAGCCCUAUCCACACCUCACUGGGACAGCGUAAGUUCUCCUGGAUUUGGAACAGGUGACAGAAAGAAGAAAAAUACAGAGGCAGAAAAGAGGGUCUUCAGAACUUCCUCUGCAGGAACUUUCUCAUACUGCAGUAAUUUGUAAGCAUGGUGCAACUGAAUUAUGCUGGAUUCAAAAGGGAAGAUUCUUUAUUUUCCCCUCCAGGCUAAAGUUUAAAACAUCUCUUCUUGGGAACAGUACAGUUUGUUUUCUGUUUGGCUUUUUUUUUUUUUGAGCAGAAUGACACCACUUAAGAAGCUGUCUUUGCAGAUUAACACACACUAUGGCAGUCUUGCAAAGAAAGGUUCUUUGUCCUCCAGUGCAGCUCUGAAGUCACCAACUCCUGCUUUGCCACCCAUGAGCAGAGAUAAAAACCUCCAUCAUGUUGACAGUAUACUGACACCCAGAGAAGCUUCUUAACCGGAACUUUUAGAUCUACUGUACAGCUUCUUCCAUCUGAAUUUAGAAAGCAGAACAUCACCAAGCUGGGAGAACAAGUAGAGUGGUAACCAGCUGGGAGCUGCAUUGCACAGGGAUUUCCUAUACAUCUGCUGGCAGCUGAAGUAUAGAACUCAGCAGUCUGUCAUCUCAGGCAACAGACUACUUGGGCAGGAAAAAAGCCCAUGCUUAGGACUUCUGCCUCUUCUUUGCUCACCUCUGCCAGCUUGUCCAUGUCCCACUGCUCCACUUUCAGCUUCUUCCUGUCUCAUCUUUUCAUAUCAACCUGCCCAUCCCCCUCCUGUCUAGCAUGUUUUUCUUGCAUCCCUUCUGGACUCACUGUCCUAGACGUGAGGACAACAGCAGUGAUCAAAAGGAAGCCUCAUCUUGCAGCUACAGUACUGCUAUGGAAUUAAGGAUCUCAGGAUUGAAAUCCCAGGCUUUUCUAAUGUCAAACACUGCAUAAGAUAGGAUUUCACUUUAGCAAAGUAACAAGGAAAAGUCUGGUCCAAAUCAGCCUCAUAAUUAAUGAGGAAGACAAGCAGUUCCAGAGGAUGACUCAGCCCCAGCCUCAGACUAGUGCCUGUAAUAAAAGUGAUGCAUGUCUCUGAGCUGGACACGCCUUAUAUUCAUCUAGACUGAACUGCGUAAAGAAUUUUUAGGAAAUCAUUUAUCCACUGAUAAAUUCAGAUUUAUACAGCUAAUGACAUAAGAUACCAGCUUUCAAUCCAUAUUCCUCAUUAGGCACAGAAAGCAUUAGCUGGUAUCUCACAUCCCAGACAAGUACUCUGGUAACAGAACUGUCCUGUCACUGAUGGAAGAAAGGAGGGAGGUGCUACUAUUGUAAGUACUUCUAUCUUUUGUAGCUAAGCCUUCAUUGAAUAACAGAAUCACAGAAUAACUUGGAUUGGAAGGGAUGCCAAGGACUAAAUUCCAAUCACCCCACCAGAUGCAGGGCCACCAACCUCCAGAUCUGGUACUAGCCACAGCUGCCCAGAGCCCCAUGCAACCUGGCCUUAAACACCUCCAAGGAUGGAGCAUCCGCAGUCUCUCUGGGCAGCUGUGACAGCACCUCACCACUGCCUCUGUAAAGAAUGUCCCCCUUAAAUCCAUUCUAAACCUUCCCUCCUUGAGCUUAAAACCGCUCCCCUUGUCUACCACUACCUACUCAAGUAAAAAGUUGAUUCCUCUCCUUUUUAUAAUCCCCUUUUAAAUACUGCAAGGCUGCAAUGAGGUCUCCUCAUAGCCUUCUCUUCUCCAGGCUGAGCAAGCCUAUCUUUGUUUAUGCCUAUUCCUACUUCCAAGAUUUUCUUUCUUUUUAAUAAAGGCCUUUGGAAUUUGAGUAUUUCACUUCUCAAAUCUCCCCCACCGAAUUAAAAAAUAAAAUCCCAAUUUAAACAUUGUUUCAGUUAAGCAGGCAAAGAAUACUUUCAUUUUAUCUCUGCCUCCUGCAGAAUUUGGAGAGAUAACAGGUUCAGCUCAUGUUCUCAGCCUCCAUGCGCUGCUCUGUGAAAUUAAGAGGAGGUUUAUUUUGAAGGAAGGCUACUGGGAACCUAUACCACCAAUCUCCAGUUUGCAGUCAUUCACUCAAGUCUGCCAGCUGCAUCUGUUGAAAAAACUUUACUAAGUUUCAGUAUUUUCUGCAGCACGGUAUUUUUAUUCCAGUAUUCCCAGAUACAAAGCUGAAUAUGUCUUUUUAGAAGACCAGCUAGUGGGGGAAAAUCAAACUUUUCAUUAAUCAUCUCUAGUGGUACUAGGCAGUCUUUAAAAAUUAUUCUAAAAUGUUUAUUUUCUGUUGGCUGUUCUGAAUAAAUUAGUUAACAUUUAGGCUGACUUCAUCCAGCUCUACGCCACUCAGAUAAAGCAGGAGGGACAUCUAGUGGCUAGCAGGUAGCAACCUGGGCUUUUCCACUGUCACACCUCUCUUCACACAGCACUUCUGCAUAUUUGUCACACCUGACAAUUAAGGUUACACUCUACUCCUUUCAUCAAAAGCAACUUUGCUUAGAAUUAAUUUCACAUUUCUAAGUACAGCUACAGCUGGUCAGCCUAGCUCUCAGCUCCAUGGCUAAUUCCACCUCUAGUGAAAGAGCUCCUGUGUAACUUAAUGUAACAUACACAUCACAUGUGAAUUGAGACUACGCCAUCUAUUUCUGUUGUCACUUCUCUCACUACAGGAGGAUCUCAUUUAAAAAAAAAAAGAGAAAGAACUUUAUGGAAAAGUAUGUGCAGAUUUUGUUUUGGAACUGCUAUUAUACUAAUUUAGUCAACAUCUGUUCAGGAUUUUCCAUAUGAAAUGCCAUUUAUGAACAAGCUUGGAACCAGCUGAAGUGGGAAACUAAAUGAAUUACCUGUCUGUGAUCAGUGGUACAGAUGAAAAAACUCUGCCAUCUGAAACCGUCUCUUCAGCAGUGCUGACUGAGCAUCUUAUCUCUUCCUCUACCACUUGAUGCUUAGGAAAGAAUUCUGCAUGUUCGUGCAUCCUUCCAUUGUGCAUUUCUGAGGUUCUCUUCGGUGGUCUGGGAGGAGGUGGGGUAUGUUCAGGUGGUGGGUCCAGAUCUUCAUUGGAGAGCUCUUUCCACUGUUCCUUCAGGGAAGGAAAUGCCCUGUUAUGUCUUCCAUUGUUUAUUUUAUGUAAACUACUGUAACUAACUUGGCAGUGGCUUUACACUCUACCUUCUCAUUUAUUUUUAGCAUGUCUGUUCAUUUGCAUUUGGAAAAAAAAAAGGAAAAAAGAUACAAAAACAAUACCAAAUCUAAGCUAUCUGCAGUACACUGAAGACAUCAGCUAUAAAAGGAAGAAAUCUUAAUCUAUGUCUGGAAAUUUUAAACAGCAUGAAAUAGGACCUAUGUUGCUAGUUCUGCUGUAAGAAUUCAUCACAAUAGUUAAACUUCUGUCAUAUUAGAAAGCUGAUGAAAGACAUGGCAGAUGCAGCCAAUCUACACCGCAGUUAAGGUGCGGAAAAGUACACAGGCACCACCUAUUGCUCUAUAGGGCUACAGGAAGUAUUCUGAAGUCAGAUAGUAAAGUGUUGUAUUUAAGUGCUGCAUAAUAUAAAAAUUUAUUGAAGCUGAAGGAAUUUAAAGCUCCUUUCUGUUCAGUUGACCCCACUUAUAUGCUAUAGUUAAAAAAAAAAGUGUUGCAGUCUACUAUACACCUGGUUCUGCAGUCAGUAAUACUCACUUGCACUGAAGCAUCCCCCAUAAUGAAUUUUGCCCCCUCAAUAACAGCUAAGUAGGAGAAACGAAGCUGAUCCGCUGUCUGUAUAAGUCCCAUUCUGUACUUCCUCAUUUCUAGGAGAACCUGUUUAACAUCCACAGAAGAAGGAUCUUUCCGUUUGUCCAUCUGAAGAUAAAAAUUUGAAACGUACUUUAUGCUCUGAUGAGAUUCAAUAUGAUGACUGGCUUUACAGAACAGCUUUCAGACCACCCUACAUAUUGCAGUACUAAUACACUGAGGAAAACCACAGAAAUGGAAAACUGCACUGGGUCUCUAUAAUCCUGUAAAGCCUAUCCUUGCAAAUCACUCUAAAACAUGGAGUUUUCUUCCCAGGACUCAAAUGGCCAGUUAAGAAUGAGAUCUACCUUAGUGUUAAAAUGGAAGACAGUCUCAAACCAGAAUAUGAGUAAGAUGUCAAGUCCACCCAAGGAGCACAGGACAGCAGCUAUUACCAUACUACCAAAGCUCUGAACCCAUGGAUGUAGAAUUAAAAUUCCAUGCUUGACAGUUCCUGUCUCCACCAACCCCAGAAGGGCCGAGACAUUUCCUCUCAAGACAACAGCUACUCCAUGUGCAAAAGGAACCAAACCUUUUUAUCUAUCAGAUUUAUCCUUAUUCUCUAGAAAGAAGAAGGAAGAGCUGCUGACCUUUACUUGAAAAUAUGAAUCCCAGUCUACCUUUAUCUGCAGGAAACCAAAGGUUUAUGACAAACAGGACUUCUGACAGAGUCGCCAGCUGUCACAGUAAGACUACCAGGUUACAGUAGAACUGGGGUAAGCAGACAUUGAUCACUCAGGCUAAGCAUCAGACUGACUCUACUACUUGGUUAAAGAAUUACAUGAGACUUCUCAAAUUUCAAUAUUCAAUCCACAUCAGGAGCACAUCUGACUCUGCUAGAAGGACAGUGACUUUUGAGAAGAUGAAAUGGCUUUUUCUUGACUGCUGUUUUGCAGAAGAAAAGCUUUGCUACCUUUAUCAUCAAACAAAGUCAGUGCCAGGAAAUAAACCACAGUCCUACUGAAGUGAACAUCCACCAUGAAAAAAAACCCAAGGUAAAGACUACAUGUAUAGAUUUUUGCAGUCUUCGGUGAGGGUGGAGAGGAACGAGAGAAAACAAAAACUGUAAGUAAUAGAAGGUUGAGGAUGAGAAAAGCUGCUUCUCACAGCAAAGCCAAACUAAUGUGCCACAUAACCAAGAGUUUAGACCAGCUACAAGUCACAAACUGGAAGCAAAAGGAUGAGAGAUGCUUUCAGAGUUACUAUGUAGCGUCAGUAGUCUCUACUACUGAUAGUUGGCAUCCACACAUCAAUUUCCAACAUUUUUUAAUUUGCUGUUUGUCAUAUAGUUUCCUUUGUGAAAUUCUACUACAAAACAGAGAUUAAAAGCCUCCUAACAACUAUCUAACAGCAACUAGUUGACAUUAAGAUUGGAUACUGAGAGAUGUAUUUACCAAUGUAUAGUAGAAGGCAAGACCACGUAAACAUGGCUUAAAUCUAUAUGAUUUAUCCCAAACUUCUUUGCCAGGAGGAGACAGGCAUUUGAUCAAGCUACCAGAUAGUGGCUGAUUUAGCUUCAGAAAAACUAGAAAAGGUACUGAAAUAAAGACAAAAGCAGUAAGGAUUCUCAUUCUCUGUAUGCGCAAACCAACUGCAAGCUUCAUCACCAUUACAGGAAUUACCUAUUCUUAUUCAGAUUUAAAUUUCAUCUUUAGAAAAACUUCUAAGAAAAAUAAAAAAGUUUUAUUAUUUGAAGUCAUUUCAAGUGAUAUCUAAAAUAUCAUUCUUCCUUUGUUAAUAUCAGAAGUUUCACGCUGGGCAGAAAUCAAUAUGAAGAAAGUGAAUCAGUUCAGCCUGACUUCCUGUAAAUUGAUUUCAGUACACUGAAACAAGUACAUUUUAAAUUUUGAAGCACAAGAUGGUUCCUGUAAAUGAACAAGAGUAUAGUUCCAUUUCAUAACCUACCAUCCUCUCUUUACACAGAAAGGGCAUGUGAUUUGAUCUACGUAGGUAUAAGGCAUGCGUUCUGCUGCAGGAACAAAAACUUUCCAGAAGUUAUACUCUGAAUUCCUGUCAGCUGUAUGACGACUUUAGUGAGCAAUGAAAAUCAUUACCAGACCUUCUAUGAAGCUGUCUUUUCCCACCUCCUCCAGCUGUCCAUUCUGACAAACUUUUUCCUUAAUUUUGAUAAACACAACAAAAGGCUACCUGUGGGUUUGUAUGCUGUUGGGUUGGGGUCUUCCUUUUAACUGCUUUUAAUCAUGCCUUUUGUAGUGAAGCUACCUGGCUGGCAUCCUUUCAUAUAAAUAAGACUUACUACACAAUUCACUCACAUACUUAGAAAAAAAGAAUAUGUGAUGCUUAACUGAAUUACUGGUUCAGAAUUUAAACUCAGCCUGGCACCUAAAUGACAACAAUGAACAUUUUUAAAUGUUGGGCAAUUUUCUUAUUAACAAAUAAUUUCAAAGGCUUCUAAGGUACUAGUACUGCAUGUAGUUUGCUCUGAAAGUAAUGCCUCUUCCUGUUUACUUCCAUGGAAAAUACAACAGAUGCAAAGAGCACAAUACCACUAUUAGAUAGUGUUUAGUAGCUGAGAAUUUGCUCUAUUUUUCAAUGUAUUCAUCACCAUUUGCUGUGCAUUUUCACCAGCGAUGAACAGGAGCCCUUCAUGCUGCACUCAAAAACAUCUGUACCAGUAGAGGUGACCACUAUCGCCAUGGCUUAAAUGCACCACCCAUGCCUCCUUGUGCCAACAUCCACUGGUUGGUCUUCAUAAACUUCCAGCAAGCAUCAAUGAAUGUCACUAGGAAUGUCUAUUUUCCUCAUGGGGGGGGCCUUACCUUCAUUCUAUACCCACUUCCACAUCAGACACCACUCUGUCAGACUGCCCCUGUGCUGCCAUCUGUCACACAGCAACAAAAAGUAACAGGACAUUGGUGGGAAGGUUCAGCCCCUACUGCCACACCACCAACAGCCACCUCUGAUGUUGUGGGCCAACAUCAUAAAAAUAGGAAGCAUUACUUUCAGAGCAGCUCUCAAACCAUUAAAAAAAGACUUCAUAACUGUCUGCCUAAAGAGAGACUCCAGGUAGCUGUUAAAACUAAUAUUUGAACUGCUGUCACUGUUUAAAACUCUGUAAGUCAGUGGGGGGGGGGGGGGUCACUCAUCAUACGCUUAUCUUGUGAGACGUAAGCAAGCUACUACAAUGAUUAAAGGACCCAGAACACCCACACAAAGAUUGUUUUCUGUGAUCUUGAUGAGUAAUACCACACUUGCCAAAUUUCAAAGCAAGGAGCCCCACACAUCUGAGCUAAAGUUUACGUCUGCCUCGAUUAAGUUAUUACUGCAUUUUUUUUUUUUUAAGAGACUUAAUUUUAUAUUAAAAUAUAUACUUCACAUUCACUGAGCUACAAAUGAAACUGAUCUGUGGUGUCUGUGUCCUUUCACCUUUUCCUGGAAAGUAUGUUGACUAAAAGCCAAACAAACAGCACAGCACAUUGACUGCUUCAUAGACAAACACUGCAGUCAUUUUGUUCAGGACAAAUAUUUUUAAAGAAACAAAAUGAAAUUGCAAAUGUUUGAUUAAAAAAAAAAGAAAAAGAAAUGUCAACAUUUGUGCAUUCAUCUUAUUAGAAGUUUAUACUGUUUGUGAAAACAACGUUUUUAUGCACUAGUCCUAAAAUACCAAUCACAAAUAAGCUGUGAACAUUGCCUCACUAACUAAUUAUCUUUCCCUUUUCUUCUUAAUUGAAACUGAUCAAGUAGGAUCCAUGAAGUGUUAGGGAUUUCAGCUAGGAGUAAGGUGAUCAAACGAACUUAAUGGACUUAUCCACAAAAAUGACAAGAUUUACAGGCAUCUACAAAAUAGACAAGAUCUAAGCAACAUUCCAGAUAUGGGCAGAAUUGCUAUCUACUACGAAAUCAUUACCUCUCUUAAAUUCAACAUUCUUCUUAUCCAAUAGAAGGAAAAAAAAAUAUAUGUAUUUGCCAGGCUCUUGGGAUUGCUAUAGUUCCAAUUUUCAAGGCAAGCCUAACAAGUCAGAAGAGAAGUUUUCUUAAAUAUUGUCUCCUAGUGGUAAAGAGAAGAAAUACAGAGCUUUCACUUUUUGGAGAGUUUGACUUCACACCCCUGCAUUUAGUUGGCACUGGAACAACUCCUUGGAGGGUAUCUGAUUCCUUGAAUAAGAUCACAAUGACUUUUAACCAUGGAUUCAGUAACUGGAAAGAUACUUUUUUCCAGUUUUCAGCUUGUUCUGCUGCAUUACCUUCUUUUGCAAAUGGAUAAUGAGGUUCAAAUAGGAAAAAAAAAAAAACAAACAAACUAUACCAACUCUCUUGAAUGGUGCCAUAUCUACAUUUAAGUAGUGGCUCAGCUAGAAGGUAAGGAAGACCAAAGACAGUUUACAAAUAGUACUAGAUAACAGGAAACGAGUUCAUUUCAGAAUUUUUGGUGUCUGGGUGCCCAAAACAAAUAUUGAAAGGUAGGUGGAAUUAGAGAUGGCUAAAUAAAGACACUUUAAUCAAAAGCAAGACAUGGUCCAUUUUGAGAGAGAAGAAAUACUAAACCUAAAGAGGUCUUAGAGCACGAGAUGUGUCUGAAAACAGAAAAGCUGAAUCUUUACAAGAGCUCCAGAGUUCUGUUCAUAUUUACUUAUCAAACUAUUUAUAAAUACAACAAUGUAGCUUUGACCUCACAGUAUCUCCUAGAAACCAGCCAGUGAAAGAAGUAAUAGGAAAAGCAGGAAACUUCAUCCACUCUAUGACUUACCACCAAUUUACUCUUAUUAUGCUGUUAACACAGCAUUAGAAUUUGCAUGCAAAGAGAAAAAUGGGUUGUGGAAGAACCUGCAAGUUCUGCAAGUUCAUUAGAGACUUAAAGCUACAAAAAAUAUCCUUUUAGGACUUAAAAAGGAAAACAUCUUUUUCACAUCACUGCUAUUGUUCUUUAAAUGCUCUAAUGUUAAGUUGUUGUUGCCAGCAUUACAUUCCAAAAUAAACAUUUAUAUCAACUUGAACUGCUGAAACAUUAAAGGGUUUCAGUGAGCAAGAAAACACCGUUCAGCAAGAGUACUUAUUUUGAUCUACUUGAUCUCUCCCAAUAGCCAUUGCUGCAGCCAUAUCUUCCCACAAGAACUGCAAAUAUACCAGUUAAGGAAGUCGUCACUGAAGACCAUUAGAAGAUACUUCUUCAUUGCUAUUAUGGCUGCUCCUUGUGUUCUCCAAGCAGAUUAAUUUUCAUCAGCAAUGCUCUAACUCAUUUGGCUUCUAACUUUGGAGCCAACAUUUCUCAUUACCAUUUUAGGAAUCCAGCUACUACACAGUAAUGCUGUCUGGCUGACAGCUGCGUUGGAACAACUAUAUACUUCUCCUUUCACAACAGAGGAUAUUUCUAUGAGCAAUUUUUCUAGCUCCUGUAGGAAUGCUUUUGUCUUCCCUGAUCCCCAGAGACAAGGGGAGAAAGUUUUAGAUUAGCUCCCCUCCCCCUUUGCUAGCUUUAUAAAAAAAAUAACCUGUCAUUGGAAGCAGACAUCACUCAGCAUCAUCGGAACCAGGCCUGGAAAUCAUGAGUUUCCUUUACAUUUCUGGACAGAAAGUAUUUCAAAAUAGAAAAGUGCAUCUAUAUUAACUGUCAAUGGCCUGUUUUCCAUCAUGACACAAAAUCCAAAACAAACAAAAAAAAUCAGAACUAUUUUCUGGAGUUUGUCUAGAUUUUAUUUUCUUGAUUUGAGUUGGUCUGGAUGUCUCUUACCAUCAUGAAAAACAGAAGUGAAAAAUAUAAAGCUUAUGAAAACAGAAUUAACUUUAAGCUAUCAGUUUCAACAUCCAGCACUGACUAAACUCGGAUCUUACCUGUUGCAAUUUAGAAGGGAUACAGUAAGGAAGCUAUUGGUGUUAACAGAAGUAAAAGAGAAUUAAAAUAGGGUGGUUUUUUUUUUUUUUUUUUUUUUUUACAACUGAGUUCUUAUCUGAAGUAGCUACACAUUUUUCAGAAAACACAGUCAGUUAAAUCAGUUUUAGAUACCAGCAUGCAAUACGCUACAUUAAAAUUAGACUGAUAUAAAAUUAAAGAAAAAAGGCAACAUAUUUAUACAUGAAGUACAUACAUUUAUUACACAUGCAUUCUGAGGAAUAUAUUUUGCUCAUCUAAUGAUCUUUGCAGAAAGUACCGAACAAAGCUUACUGGGAAAAAGAAAAAGAAAUAAUAGUUUAGAAUUUAAUUUUGAAGUCAGUCUUGUUACUAUCUCAUAGAAUUACAAACACUUAAUAUGAUGUGACUUAUAUCAGUACUUUCCAAACUCUUGUACUGCUACAGUUACUUCCUGAAGUACAAAACAGCUAAUUACAAUGAUUUUUAGAUCUCUUGACAAAACUUAUAAGUUGUUUUUGGUUUUUUUUGUUUGUUUUUUAACAGAAUCUGUAUGCCGAUUGUAUCUUAAGGAUCAACAGAAAAGCAUUUUUCUAACGCAAACAAUAGCAUGCAAGAAAUUCUUGGAGUAUUUAUAUGUCUAUGAUAUGUAUAUAUCUUGGAGUCUUUGUACGUAAAGAACUUACAGAAAACAACAGUUACUUCACUCCAGGGAUCAUGCCUUUGCCGCUAAGGAAGCUUUUAGUCCAAACUCAUGCAAGUCAUAUAGACAUGAUGAUAGUGUAUCACAGCCCAGAUGCUACUAGAAGAGCUUUGUUUUGUCUGCAUACUCACACUGUUCUGAGCUAUAAAGUAACAUACUGCUUGCACUAAAACUGUUGAUUGUACUUUAUUAAUCAGUGGGAUAAAUAUACAUUAAUAUAACUUUUGAAGGUAAUAAAAUGGGUACUAUUGAGAACUAGAAACAAUAUAAACUGGCUAGAAAUAGUAAUUUGAAUUUCUAGCUUAGUCAGCUUGGCAGAAACAGCUGUAUUCACUGCAUCCUCCUCUAAUUAGUUUGCAUAUUACAAGAGUUUCAAAGGUUAUUUCCCACUUAGAAACCUACCAAAUUAGCCUUCACAGCACAAUACUGUUACCGUAUUAAAUGCAACAGCAACAGUUUAUUCAGACUAUAGAGACUUACCACUAUUUUUUCUGUAAUGUUUCAUUUACAUAGGCAUAUAUUCUUAUCAAAUAAGGUAAAGACAAUCUCCUCUCUAUCUGGAACAUUCAGAAGAGCCUGUCUCAAAAGGAAAAGAAAAGGUCCAGUUCAUAGCUGCUCAGUUGUAAACACAUACGCCUUAUUUAAAGAGUUCUGAAAUCUAAUUUCAGUAAUCGUUGCACGAAAGUGUAGCUCCUAUAUCUACUUAGCAGCAGUAACAUGAAAUAGAUAGAUUUGAACAUACUUCUUAAGCACAAUACACCAGAACUGCCAUAAAUUUUUAUUGUGAGUCCUCUGUAUUUUAGAGAUAGAGACCAGAAUGUUUGCAUUUUGGAGACUUUUGUGUUCAGAUAAUGGAAUGGUUUAGAAAUCCAAGUUAUUUUUUAGCCAAACUAUACUUGUAAUAUUACUGUACCUUGGCUAUCCAGCCCAAGUUACUGCUAGGUAACACUCUGAACACAUUGCAUUACAAAGGUGAGAUUUUCAAAACGCCAAGUGUCUUACCAAAGUAAUCAGUCAAAACAUCAUUGAAUUUACUUGGUAAAAGCAGUGGUAGGCCAGUGUUGAGAAUGCUCGAGUAUCAAUUAAUUGUCAUAAUGUCAAAAGAUGUCAUAACUAAAACAUAGGAAGCUCUACACCUACCAGAUUCUUACUCAGCAGAAAUAGGUAGAUCACUGAUUAAGAAUGAGAGACGAAGAACAGCAUGCAUUAUCACAGAGAGUUUAAAAUAAGCAUUUACAAAAUAAGCUGUAUCUAAGCUGUCAUGUUUCUGAAUUGUGUAAGCAUUAGAUCUGUUACUCAUUUCUGUUGGUGAAGGCUAAUUUUUAAAUUUACUUUUUCUAUAGAGAACUACAAAAAACAACUGUAACAAAAAAUGGGUUAAACUUUUAGAAGGACAAAGCAAUACUAACAAAUGAAAAGGAAAGGACUUAAUUCUAAUUCAAGGAAAGCUCGUUCACUGCUUUGAAACACUAAACAACUGGUCUCACUUUGCAUAAAUGAUUCCAUUCAUAUUAAGUACUCUGAGUAUCUAAAAAUCUACAUAACACUUUAAUAUGUUUGCAAAAUUUAAGGGAAUAAAGCCUCACCAUGAACAUGGUGUAGUAGACAUUCAGACCACUUCAGUAUUAUUCUUAUGUUUAGAAUACUAUGAGACAGACAGUGGCUGUAUUUCCAAACUUUCUACUAGUUCCAUGAAGUUUCUCAAAAGUUAUGAGCUUGUAUGUACAGGAAGUACUAAAACACACAAGGAAGUGGCAGGAAUUGUUAAAUAGGAAGUCGUGAACUCUACAUUACCUAUUAAAAAAAAGAAAAAAGAAAAGAAAAAAGAUAUCUACAUCUUAUUUAAUGAUAGACUUCAUUUCCUUGAAGAUGUUUUUAUCAUAUGUUGUUUUUCUGGCCUUCUUUAGAUGCAAUUUUUAAAGUUCCAAGUAUGAGGGGUAUUACUGGACUUAUUAUGAGAAAUCACUGUUCACUACAAAUGAUGAACCAUAUGCUACAAAAGGUACCAAUUCCAUAAUGUAAGUGGGUUUCCUAUUGUUUCCUCCCUUCAAAUAAGGGCAUCAUUCAAAAUCCCAGGAGGGUCUAACCUACAGCAAAAGAACACUUCACUCCAGUGAACAUUAGUAAGCAUACAAGCAACAGUACUCUACUCUUUACACUAUUACCAAAAGCUUUGUACCAUUUCUAGCAUACUGAAAUUCAAGCGUAAAGAGAAUGUACAAUUAACAGGAUGCACAAAGUGUCUUCAUGCCCCCAUGUGCAGAGGUCAAACUCAAGCUUUGCUUCCCGUGAAGAACCAGCAAGCAGUCAGGCCUUCUAGUACUCAGCUUCUUCCACCAUGCUGCCCAAAUAGGUAUUUCGGAACUCUAAGUACCUGUACUGGUUAACAAUCACUUGCAGAAAGAUACAAGUAUCCCUUUCUUAACCUAAUUUCAAGAAAGAAAUUUGAAGACAUACUGGAUUACAAAUUUGGAUGAACAACUUGUUAAACAGAUCCCAAAUGAAACAUUUCUGUUGUUAUUAUAAUCACAGCUGCCCACUUCACUGUACUUUGAAUAUAAGGAAAAUUUCAGUGAUGAUUAAAAGCAUACUGAAAUCACUGAAUGGUGCAAUCUACAAGUUGCCAAGCUACUGUGGUGCAUACAAAAACCUGCUGAGAACAAACAGUACUGCUGGAAACAGCUGUUAGAUAAAGCAGAAUUAGUAUACUCCCAUUUUCUCACAAGCUGUCAAAUAUGUGCUUAGGACCAAGAAAGAGCUAAACUAGUCUAGUUUUACUUUACAGCUUACAGCUUUCUAAACCUGAGACAACCAGCUCACUGGACCAAACGGAUCUAUAGACUGAACACAACUUCUGGAGUAAGCCAAAUAGCGAUGCCAUAUCCCGUCCUCACAAACACAAGUUUAUACAUUUGUUUACCUGACUAUAUGGCUGCCGGGUCAUGUAAGGGCUGGACAGAUCACGUGCCACGUGCACAAGCCCACGGGUUGGUAGCAGGGACAGAACAGACUGUACAGCCUUCACCUGGCUCCAGGGCAGAAUGGCUGGGCACCUCUGCUCUACGUAAAGGUUCAGCAGAAGAAGUUGCACUUAUAGUUGACUGUUUACACAACUAUUUCCAGAGUAGUAAACUGUUCUAAGAAAAAAAAAGAGAAAAAAUCAAUACCUUUUUUGAAAGAGAAACUUAACCCUUGAAUGCCACAUUCACUGAACUCGCACUCAGAAGAUACCUAGAUUGAAAAUGGAUCUAGGAGCACUUUGCUCUGCUAGCUGCCCCUUCAAGCACAAAUCAAAAUGUACAUUAAGUUCUCAGUUUCAGUUGAUAUUGAUAUUGUUUUUCACUCAAAAUAAGCCUAGCUUCCAAUGUGUGUUAGCAAUUAGCUCUCAGAAAGGAAGGGUGAAUAAAUUUAUAUCUCCAGAAUAAACAGUGUAUAAGAAAAUCUACAGACAAAAAGUCUGACAAAUUCCUGUGUAAAGAUAGAAUCCUUCCAUUAAUUCAAGGUAAGGCACACCUUUAAUGCCAAAACUCAUUCUAUAUCUUAUUACUUCUCCACGUUGCAAAGUAAUAGCUUAAGACAAUGACAGAAGCAAUCCUACAUUACUAAUGACUGCUUUAAUUGUCAGUGCAGUGUGAGAGAGUUUCACCUCCAGUCAGGCAGGUUGUCUCCUCCCCAUCUGAAGCCAACUGAGAGUUUAAAACAGCAUUAGUGUUAAACAGGCGCUCUACACAAUCAAGAUGAACCUCCACAGAGAUGAUAACAUAGGAAGGAUUAGCACUCUGCACUCCAGUAUAUAAAAGUCUGCAGAACAAGACAAGCUGGGACUUCAAAGAACUAUUUCAUAUUCCCCAUGCUAAUGAAACAGAUUUGUCAGUGAACGCAAGUUGCAUGCAUCAGACAAGAUAAACAACAAACAUUUUGUCACUUCAUCCAUCUACUGUUACUGCAAGUUUAGAGUAAUUCACUCAGGGAACACCAAAUCAUUCAGCAAAGCCACACAACUAUUGCAAACUGCCAUCUCCAUCAUUACAGCAUCCUCUCUGGAAAUGCACAAUUCUUACGACUUCCUUUGCUCCUCUCUCAUAGGCCAGACCCCUGUGCUGUACCCACACCACUGUGCCCGUAGUCCAACCAGACUCCUGCUCCUUACUCUGCACCUCCUGUAAGCCAUUAGCAGCUUUGUAAUUUGGUGGCUCUCUAAAACCUGUUUGCAUUCUUAGCACACAUCUGAAACACUAACAGAAAGAAUAAAAAAAAACAAGCUUUCAAACAUCUUAAAAAAAAAACCCAAACCCCAAACUUUACCCCAUUAAAACCUUUUCUGCCCUCAGACCCCACCAAAGGACCAUUAUCUAAAGGUUUCUGAGCACUGGUUCACGAAUAAAGGUUAUCAACUAUUAGGAUCACACCCAAGUACCUCCUACUGCAUCAACAGUGCUGUGGGCAGGCAUUUUUUACAACAAUUGAUUAUUUUUCUUAAACCAUUCAGAGACAGAAAUUUGCAUAAAGAGAUGCUUUUAUCUGGAGAACACAUUGUUAGAAAAUACUUGAGUGUAAAGAAACCUCUGAGGUCUUUUGUUGGUUUUCUUCCUUAAAGUUCUAAUGUAUACAUUGAUUAUUAUUGUAAAAUAAUAUUUGAGUGCUUACUCCUAACUAGAAGCAAUAGUUAGGUAAUUCAGCUACUCCUAAAAAAUAAUUAGCACAUAACAGUAAGCACAUAACAUUUUUGUCACCCCAAAGCCCCACUUCACAUGGCAGAGAACUCAGCAAACAGCAAAUUACAAGGAGUUUCCUGCUGUCAGUCAGCCUCACAAAAGCAGCCUGUACACGAUGUUGUAUGGUAAGGCACUCAGGUAAAGCUCUGCAGAACAGACUCAGUUCCAAACUGAGGUUCUGAAUGGUAAACCUCAAACAAAUUAUGUCAUAUUUGUCAUUAGUUUCUUGUUUAUCAGUUACUAAUAGCCAUAAAAUCUUUCUGCUCUGCCUGCUUCUUGACAAGCUUUAAAAAGCCUAUUGUAAGAUUAGAUGUCUCCACUAAUGCUCUGAUGUCAGCUAAUAAAUCCAGCAACUUAGCAGCUGUGAAGAUUUUACAUAUUUUCAACCUCCUGUUUCAAUCUUUCAUCUCUACUAAAAAAAAGACAACUUCGAGGAACACGGUGAGCAACCGUGCUCCAGAACCCUGGGGUAAAACCUGAACGCCAAGCUUGUUUCCAGUGAGAACGACCAAAUUCACUUCAAAUGACCUAAGGCAACUGGGCUUAAGGGAAAUUAUCGAUCAGCUGUCUAUGUAGUAUUACUUGCUGUCAAAUGAAACAACCAACCUCCUCAACUCAAUGUCGUAUCUCUCAAUACAUUACUGAUUUAGUGACAGCUAAUGUAAUAUGUAACGAUAAAAUGAUGGGGUUGUUUCUUUGCUACAUGCAUUGUCCUUCAUUAUUUACAAGUUUUAAAAGACCAGAAGGGCAGAACUGCUCUUGUCAUGGAAACUGGGCCAAUUCUGAGAAGAUACCAAUGCUGGGAAUGAAAACAUAGUACAAGUUGAAGCAAGAUUCCCCUUCAUCAUGCUGCAAGUGUUGCUGGGCACUGCACAGCUCCUGGUGGGCAACUGCAACCAUAAGGUGAAUACAGUCCUUGCCAGAAGUGUUAAAAAAAAAGACAAUUAUCAAUUGUCAAAAAAAGUUUUAAAAAAUUGUCAAAACUGACAAUUAUCAAUUUCAAUUUAAUUAAACUGUAAAAGUAUUACACAGAAACACGUUCUGGCAUUGGGUAGCCAUCUAGUCUGUCAUUCCUUGCUGGUUAAAACUCAAUUUUUCUUUAAUUUCUAGAAAUAUUCAAAAAUUAUCCAGAACAUGUGGAUACUGAUUUUGGCUGUUAAUUAGCUAUGCAGUAUUUUUUUGGUUCUCAGUUCUUGCUCCAAUAAUCUACCCUACUACAACCAGCUGCAGUGACUGCACAGAAGACAGUGGGAAAAAAGUAGCAGCACAAUGGAAUCAAGAUUUGAACUGGUAUGGCUUACUUUUCCUGUCAGAUGAAGGAAGCACACUCUUCCUUAGUCAAAGACACAUUUUAAAAAUAGAUUUCAUAUUUUACUUCCUGUGGUCACACCAAAAGGUCACACUGUUUAUGCUACUGUAACUUGUCACUGUGGGAUUAGAAAUGACACAAAAAAGCAAUUUGCAUUCAAAUGUUCACAAGGGAAGAAGUUUAGGAGAACAUUCCUCUUUAUGCACAGACCACUUGUUCCAAAUAAAUAUAAACAGCCUGAAAAACAGUGUCUUGUAAGAUGGCUCAUGGCAUCAAGAACUUGAUGAAUCAAGCACUUCAAAGAAGAAACAUAAAAUUCUGGGAACAUGAGAUACAAGAAAAAGCACAUGAAAGAUUACAAAUAGAACAGCUACAUUAAGUUCAAGAUACUACUGCCUAGUAGCUUUUUCAACAAGCAAUUGUUUUAGUACCAGAAGCUUUCUGAGCAGAGGGCUCCGUUCCCACCCUGCCUCCAGCCUGACCCAGACAGCUCCACACUCUCCACUGGAAAACAAUCAAAGUUUUUAUAUCAUUACAUACACAGUCAAAUGCAAAAUUUGCUUUGUUGCUUUAUUUCCUACUGCUACUUAUGUAGAAACUGUUUUAACCUCCUGCAUACAAGAAAAAGACUGCGCCACAUAAUUCAAAUCUGAUUAAACAGUAUCACAACAGCUGGUGAGUGAAAGAGACCUUCCUCAUCAUUGACCAACUGCACUGUCAAUGCUGAAGGUGCCUUUUUAUCCCUUAAAGUGCACAGCAUCCACAACAACUGAUUGCUGAGAAAAUUACAGUUUCAAAUGGUGGGAAAAGGCAGAGAUGGUGAAGGCAUGCAGCAGACUUCUUCCCGUUCUUUCCACUGGAGUACACUGCAGUGAAAAAAAGGAACUAAGCACUACUUCAAGGUUUGAAUCCCAGCACAGAAGGACUAAAAUGUCCAACACAGUGAAGAUUCAGCAUCAGUCCCUAACAAUGAGAAACAGGCUCUGAAACAAGCCCUUAAUGCAGGUAUUGGUAUGCCAUUCAGGUAAAUCCAAAAUACAUCUCCAUGAGAUUAAUGCUGAAUUCAGCAAAAAGCUUUUUUAAUCUGCUUUCUUUCAUUAAGUAUAUGCCCAAUGAGAAAGCAGAAUGCCCAAAUAUUUUUUCCCUCCACAGGUAAACGAAACAACAACUACAAUCCAUGUUCAGUAUCAUGCCAAUCAACAAGGACAGGUAGGAGACAGCAACAGAGUGUGAGUGGAAAGGAACAGCCACUAGGAAAAAAAAAAAGGCACACACAAUUAGGUAGGAAACACGUUUGACAUAGUGUUAAUGUUAAGUACUUUGAGUUAAAAGAUACAGACAGGCUCCAGCCACAAUGGUCAAAAAUUCAGACCUGUGAAGUAAGCUGGCUGUACUCACGUUCUUCCACAAACAGAUGCCCUAGAUAUCCAACUUGUUACUCCACUGCUUAUGACUGCAAAGACAAUAAUUUAUGGAAAUAUAGUGUGCAGCAGUCCAUUUUCUGGGACAAAGUGUUGAGCAAGGUGAAAGCAUAAGGAAACAGAACCUAUGGAACCAGAACCUAGGGGGAAAAAAUGAAUUUUAAAAAUUCCCAAACUUUCCUACUAUGCUGACUCUUUUACCUUUCAAUCAUGGACAACAGAUUUUUUCAUUGCUGUCCCAUCAACGUUUCUCUUCAACGUAGAAAGCACAGACCCGAGUUGAAGGCAGAUCAGCUACCACUACUAACAGAAUCACGAAUUUCCAAGAAUCACUUUUAUUGCUUUUUCUUAUAAUACAAUAGGCAAGUUAUUGAAUCUUAGCUCUGUCUUGCGUGGGUAGAGAAAAAGUACAUGUAAAUUCACAAGCUUUAGUAGAAAAUGAACUGGUGUUCGUAUGACAUGAUCUACAAAGUGAACACACAAAGGCAUUUUGAUGUUGUAUCAUAGUGCCCCUCCCAGCAAAACCAGCAAGGGCAUGUCUACUGGCACCACAGAGAUAACAAAAAACGUUCUUCUUGUGCAAAUCAACGUAAGACCAAUGACUUAAGAAAAAUUUCAAUGUUAAGCACUAUAUGCAUGAAAGCUGACAGAUCAGAUCAAGUAAUAUUACUACUUCCGAACAUCACAGAAUUUGUUUCUUCAUUUUAUUUUCAUAAAUGUGUUUUUUUUCCUGAAGGAAGCACAUCAUGUGCUUCAACAGGUCCAGAUGCACUACACACUUUUACAAAAGUACAGACAAAAAUUAUAGAUUAAUAUUUCAAAAAUAACUAUUUUUAAAAUUCAUGCAGUUCUGUAAAACGUCUAACACUGACAGCACUUUCAGUUCAGUAUUUGAAUGCCAUAUAAAACCUCAGGCGAUCCUCUAACUGUUAGUCUUUGAUCUCACUUCAUAUUAAGCUUUUUUAAAAUCAGCAUUGCAGAAACUGCAGAAUUAAGCAGAGCAUACUAGAAAAUUUUACACUCAGGAAAAUUCUAAUUACCCAGCUAAGCAUGUGACUUUUUUGUUUGUUUUUAAUUUUUAAAGGUGCGUGGCAUAAUAUUCAAUUUUCAAAUAUUUAUCCAUCUGGCCAUCAAUAAGCCUCUGACUAAACUCAUUUUGCAGACUUUCACCUAGAAAAGAUUUCAUCCUCACUGAUGAACAAAGGCCUGGUUUUAAAAGAGAACACAGACUGCAAAAGAUGACUAUGGUCAGAAGAGAAAAUCCACAUACAUUCUGCAUUAUCUGAAGCAAUGCAUGAGCUGAAGUUUUUGUCACGCAGUGCUAGCCUAAUGUGGAGGUAUUAGAAACAAACAACAGUAGCAAAUAUAAAAUAAGAAAAAAAACAACAAACAAAAAACCUAGAAAACUGCUUUCUAUCUUCACAACAACAGAACACUGAUAAUGCAUGCAUACUUCGGGUUCUUUUCCUUCUGUGUAAUAAAAGGGAUGAAAAUAAUUUUGUGCUUAUAAGCUCUCUAACAAUUUAAACAGUUCUCAUUUUGCAUGUGAGGUGACUAAAGAAAAAACUACUUUAUUUGACCAUGGGAAAACAAAUUCAGUGGCAUAUCUACUGAGUGACACAACCGGCUCACAUUCACUGACUACAGGCAAUAGUGAGAUCUCAUGCUAAUACUGCUAGUACGGCUUUUUUCGUUUGUUCAUAGAUUCUCUUUCCUACUCUAUUUAAUUUUAAUUAAAAAACAUCCACUUCGAUUCAUACAUGAAUUCUGAACUUUAAGGAAUCAGGCAGUACCGUCUUAAGUUUGAUUAGGCUGAAUUAAUGGUCCAAAUGGAUUAUUAUGUCAUGCAGGUAACUGAUGUGAAACGGAAGAACCGGUACAUUUACAAGAAAGUAGCAGUGAUAUUUCAGUGUGAAGCACAGCCUAGAAAGUCCCAGAUAAAGAGAACACCUGGAGAACAUUUAUUUGCAAUUUACAGCAAACAGAAAGGAAGAAAGAGGAACAAGUAAUAUGGAAGAACCCACUGAAACCCUACAGUCCUUCUGAAGGUACUCAGUAGAAGGCAUAGUGCUUACUGCCCACAGGUACAAUUUUCAGAUUUUCAGCAAAUUGUACCCCUUAACAGUAAGCUACAAUAGAGAAAUAAAGGCUCCGUUUUUAUUCUACUUACAGCAAUGCUAUAAGAAAGGACACUUCAAGUACUUAUAUUUUAGACCCUGGAUUCUGAAAAGCAAGCAAAACUAAGCUGCUCAGUAGCUCAAUCAAAGAGGACUUUCGCCAUCAGCAGAUAUGAUCAGUCUUGAUCUGGAAGGUGACUAGCACAACUAGCUAGUGCAGCUCAGUGCCCUGGAACAUUCUCAGCAGCACAAAGCAUACUAGCACUUGUAAAUGAAAGUAAACUCUGUUUUUUCAAAGAGAAGAUAAUGACUUCACAAGCCACAGGGGCUCAGUUACUUGCUCUGUCUCUCCCACAGCUCUAUCAAAAUUCAGUGGCUGUACAGCAUUGGAAGAUAUGGCAUAUCCUUAGCUGUACUGCAAGCAAAGAGACUCCCUGCAACUAUCAAUUCUAAGGUAGUUCUCCAUAAUCAGAGCCAAUUAAAUUACACCUUGAAUAAAUCAACAUAGCACAAGUUAAGAAGUGGCAAGGCAUGCAUGCAGAGACCUGCAUUUUCAAGGAACAAGAACUGGCAGAAUCAGGCACAAAGAUGCAUUCACAAUAAGCUGUACGCAUACUACAGUUUAUUUGCUCCAAAGAAGUUUAAAGUUCGAUAGCACCAGAGCAAAAGAGAAACACAAAUGCUUAUAGACUGCAGCAGGACAGUCUAAACCCUCACGGCAGCUUAUAAACCAAAAACACUGGCAGAACUUCCUGUUCAUUUACUUUAAAAAUAUAACACAACCACAGUAUUUUAAGUUUAGAGGGUGAACCAUUUUACAGCUUGUUACUUUCAACAUUAAAAUCUACCUACAUAUACCUUAAAUACAGAGACAGUGAUUACAUGUAAAAAAGUUUUUCACAUAUUUUUUCUUUUGAGACAGAAACAUUCAGAAUAUCCUUGGUUGCUUUCUAUAUCUCUCCCAUAAUCUGUGUGAAGCUUAUUAACUCAUAUAUUUUUGCAGUAUUUUAGUUUAGCUUAGGGAGAUUUGGGAAAAAAGUAACAGUCACAUUAAUAUUCAUUAAAAAAAAAACAACCCACCAAACUUCAUUUUUUGAAGAAACAGUUACAAUAUUCCUCUGACAGGUCUCAAACAGAACUGUACUUAACUAUAAUUAUACAUCAGUUUUCCAGGGGGUGCACAGCAGCAGAGCUAGUACAGUGCUCAAUAUGCUCAAUUCUGAACAUAUCUGAAGAUGUAGACAAUAAUCAGUUCUUUAUUUUACAAUCUACUGACUGUAAAAAGAAAAAGGUGCAUGAAUUCUGCAUCCUUCACAUGGAAAACUAAUUUUGAGCAGUUGCCAUAGAUGUUUCAGUGAAAACCAACAGUAUCAACUUUGUAUGGGUUGCAGUGUGUGCUUUGCAUGGGAUUCCUAGCUGAAUGCUAAAUAACUCACAGAUCUCUUUAAUGUUAUUAAUGCAUCAGACUUAAUAUCAUUAGCCAACCUACUAACAUCAACCUACCUGGUUUAUAUAAACACAAGAAGCAAUUUAACCUGUAUUUGAGGUUUGUGUUUUUAAGAUAGUAUCUCACUCUACCAACGUGUGUUAGAAAUCAAAACUACUAAGGACUUAUAUGUAUAGAAUUACCGUUAAAAUCUGAUACUGAAUGCACUAUCAUCAAGUGAAAGUUCAAUGUCUCUGAUAUUCUGGUCAAACCAUCUUCCUUUAUCUUGCUCUCCCCUCCUCUAACUGAAGGUCUCAACUGUGCUUUUCAAAGAAUCACAGAAUGGCUUAGGUUGGAAGGGACCUUACAGGGACUAUCAAGUCCCAACACCCUGCCAUGGGCUGAUUGCCUCCCAGCUACAUCAGGCUGCCCCGGGUCCCCUCCAACCUGACCUUGAACAACUCCAGUGAUGGGGUAUCCAUAACUUCUCUGGGCAGCCUGUGCCAGGGCCUCACCACCUUCAGAGUAAAGAAUUUCUUUCUAACAUCUAACCUGUAUCUCCCCUCUUUUGGUUUAAAACCAUUCCCCCUUAGCCUAUCACUAUCUGCCCCAGUAAAAAGUCAUUCUCCCUCCUGUUUCUAAGCUCCACUCAAGUACUGGAAGGCUGCAAUGACAUUUCCCCAGAACCUUCUCUUCUUUUCUUAGCUUUGGGCUACUGCUUUUUGUUGCAACAUCUCCAGAGUGAAUGCUUUUCAAUCCUACUGGUACUCGUAAAGGUAUUUAUGCAUUGUGUACAUCCUUCAACCCACCUUUAGGUAUUAGUUUUCUAGACUGCACACCUUAACCACGAUAUCACAUUUAAAAGUUUGUAUUAAGCUGCUGACCAUUUUCCUAUAACUUACUGUUUUAUGGAAGAGGACUUGGAUGAUAAUGCUAACCACUCAAAUUAUUUCUUAUGCUUAGCUGAGAAGGCAAACAAUCAAAUGAGACCCAAGUAUGUUUCUCUAUAAUAGAAACAAAGGUUAGUACCAGGCCAACCCUUGUAAAGUACUGGAUCUCUGAACAACCUUUACAAGGUCUCAUGGCUGCCAGUUCUGAAAGCAAGUAAAUCUAAUAAAAGAGAUGGCACUGGGUGUUAAAAAAAAAACAAAAAACCAACAACAAACCAACAACACUGACAACUUCAAAAGUAUUUACCAUUUCAACUAGCUACCCUAGUGCUACUAACCAUAAGGUCCCUGAGACAGAAUUGUCACAAAUACCUUCAGAAGUUCAUUUUGAACUCUUUUUGUCUCCAUCUUAUUAUUUACACUUAAAAAAAUCUUAUAUUGUUUCAGAACUGUGUGAUUAUUGCAGCUGAACAUAGCUUCCCCUUGUCCAAAAAAAAAGAAGCUUGGAAAAUGUUAUGCCUUCAAAGUCACGUGGCACCCACGCAUGCCUCCUUGUAGCCAUCCUUCCACUUAGCUUCACCUCUCUGUUGUGCUCCUAAUGCCUCCUCUAAAUGUCAUCUGUAUCUCUGGAUCAGCGAUAUAGCCAAGAAACAAGAGGAAGUGAUUCUGCUAGUAAACUGCAUUAUGUUUCAUUCAGAACACUGGUGAACACUUCUGCAUUUUAGCAAUCAUGAUCCUAACACCUAGACACUAGAAGUACAUGGUACGAUUAACCUGGAGAAAGACUCUUCAGAAAAAAAAAAACUGCACCAGUAACAAACAUUAUUCCACUUAACUCCAUUCUCCAAAGAUUGGUAUUUGUUGGAAAACUGCAUUGUUUGUGUCACUGCCAAGACAUCAAAAGCAUGGAUUACAGCAAAGUACACUGUUCUAGAUGUACACAAUCUGCCAGUGUCAUUUAAAGCAGUUGAUAUUUAAAAGCAAGAUGCAGUUAGAAACUGAGUUAGUGAUGCAGAAGCACAUACUUAUUAACAUUAAAAUAUAAGCAAGAAAAAACAAACCCAGCUCUCAUGCCUGUCAACAGUUGGAAGCAAAUCAUUUCAGCUUGUUUCCUUUUUAACUGAUUAUCAGUCCUUAGUCAAACCUCACUCUGUGAGGCAGUCUGAGCAGAUUACUGUGUGGCAUCAUUCAAAGAAAGCAGGAAAAAAAUAUCACCGAAUGCUACAUUGAAAACAUGCCACAGUCCCUCGUUCUUAACUAACCUUACAGCUCCUUAUAGAUAUCACUUCAGUAAUUAAAUCAUGCCCCUAGAAGUAUACCGGCUCCAUUACAGCGCUGCUACUCAACAUCAUUUCCCGAGCGCUAAGCCUGCAACAGAUCAAACUAUCAAGAACAGUUCAGCAAAAACACAACAUCAUAUAUGCACAUGACUUUCAACCAAUAGAAUUAGCAAGCACUGAGGCUCUGCAGGAAAUGAAAUACUCUACCAAAAAAAUUGACUUUUCAGAAAAGGGUAUUCAAAAUUUUAUGAGAAAAAUGCUUAUUUUCCCAUUGCCAAACAACUAGAGAUGCCCAUCCUGCAAGCUACUACUUUCACAACUCACAUACUGUUGUGAAGCUGAAGCUCAUUUAUUUCACUUUCAUAAAAUUCCACUCUUUUUUCCAUUUUCUAACGUCUGUUGUCAGAAAUGCACAGCAAAGGGAUGCAAAGCCUCACUCCUACGUUACAAACAUGGAAUUAAAAUUCAUCAGAAUAUGCAGUAUUGCAGCGUAAGCAUUCAGAUGGCUCUCACGGCAUGGCCACCUGAUGUGACAGCACAUCCACCUCACACGCAGCCACUGCAUCUCACACCUCCUUCUGGGUAAACGCACAAAGAAUUCUUUCAAGGCAGAAGACCUCUUUAGAGCUGUAUCUGUUCAUCUGUAUUCACUUUGCCAACAUCCUUAGAACCAUCUGUGUUUGCCACACAGCUUAAAAACAUCAGAAAUGGGCUAAAGACAAAAUAAUAAAAAAUAACACCAGCUAACUGGACAAGCGUUACCAAGGAGCUGCUCUUCGGAUCUGUUCUAUCACUACGGAGACCGACAGUUAGCUGUGUGCCUCACAAAGCCAUAAUGACAGCCACGACGCCGGGACUCGUUCCUCACGGUGAGGACGGGCAGCUUCAAAAGGCCGCGAACGACGGCCGCGCUGAGCUCGGAGCGGAGCCCGCGCUGAGGGACGAGGCACCAGCGAGAGGGGAGUGCCGCAGGGCCUCGGCCGGCGCGGGGCUGCUGCACGGAGCCACCCUGAACGCCGGGAGAAAGGGGAAGAAGGGCACGGCAGCAGCUCGGUGAGGGAAAGAAGGAAGGGAAAGCCGCGAGAGAGGCGGAAGGCAGCACCGUCCGCGCGGGGCUCCUCCGGGCAGCCGGGGCAGGCGCUAAGGGAGCGGAGCCGGGCGGCAGCAGAGAACGGCCGAGAGUAGAGAUAGCAAAUCUGAGUUUGGAGUCACCUUCACUUCAAUAUUCUAGAGCUACAGAAUGAUUGCCACAGAAUAAGUGAUCUUCAGAUGGAGUUAACAACUGUUACUGGUGUUGAAGAAAGAGACUGGGAGUGAGGGCAAGAAUGCAGAGGACCUGCAGGGGUGACAGGAUAGAAGGAUGUGAAAACAGCUCAACAGCAGACUAAGAAGACAUGAGCUGUUCUGUGCUCACAGGAAAAUCAUUGGGAUUCUUGCCAUGAAUGCAGAACUGAGUUGCUUUCAGCAUUUCAGUACCCAUCACUAUAUUAUCUAGGCGCCACCACAAGAUUAAGGAGCUCAACAUGAUCUGCUCAGGGGUCAUUAGCAGAGCCUUUCAUACUGGAGAAGGUCGGAGGAGAGUAAGGAAGUGCACAACAGAAGGAAAGAAAAAGGAAAAGGAGGUGAACAGCAGACAGACUCAGUAAGACACCUGUGCUCAGGGAAGGUGGCACACUGCAGUCAGAAGCACCCACCCCGAGUCGCUGUCGGAUGCAGAGGCUGAGGAAUGAGCAGAACAAUGUUCCUGCUGCUGGCCACCACUGCUCUCCUCCUGCUUCCCCAACAGGCUCCAGGCACUUUCCCUUGUCCUUCUGAUUCCCUUCCUGAAUUACUCCAGCCAAGUAAUUGUUUCAUCAUGUUGCACAGAGACAUUUUGCUGUAGUGUCAAUGUGACAUUCACUUCUAAAACCAACACUUCUCAUUUACACAAACACAACUCAGGCUCACACAGCUCUGCAGUCCCGGAUCGCAGGUGGGCUGAUGUGGGAGGGGAGCAGCCCAGGGCUGAGGUCUUAGAGGGAUUUUUGCAUUCUUUGAAGGAGACUGUGAUUCCUGUUACUGUAAUUUCUAGACAACAUCAAUGAGCUACCUACCACAGGCUUAAUGAAAUGCUUUUGCAAUACACUAGCAAACACGAGGUAUUUAUAGAAAACAAACCAACUGCUGCACUUGUUUUAUGUGGCGAUGGGGACCAUAAACUUUUGUUGCCUCUCUGUCAAAAAUGCAGUUCUUUGGCUGGGAUGAUGUUCAAGCCAAUUAAAACAAGGUCUGAUGACAAAGCCAGCAUCUCUAUAGUGUACAGAGGUGCUAUAGAGGGAAUGGAUGAGUUUGUGGAGGAUUUGUUAUUCUGCAAAAUGGAUGAAAUUCUGAGACCUAAAUAAAACUUCUAUGUAAGUACCCUGAACUCUGAGGAAGUACUGUAAUAGCCAUGUAAUGUGUGAGUUCCAGAGGCAUGCGCAGAUGGGACAAGCAAAAAAGCUGACAGUAAUUGGCUAGAAAAUAUUAUUAGAACAGAAUACUCCAAAUUUGUGAAGGCUUUAAAACAAAUGAGGGUUAGAUUUGGCUCUGCUCUGUAGAACUGUGACAAUCAGUCAGAAGAUUUGGAACUAGAUGUGUCCCAUCGUAAGUGCAAAUCAAUUAGCUUCAGCAACUAUUAACCCAUUUAUCCAGUGUUGAAUUCCAGCCACCUACAUUGUCAGGAGUGGAAGGGAACCCUUUAUUCAAAACAAAACAUUCUAACAGUCUAACAGGUGGGAAAAUGGUCGCAGAGGGGUUUUAGUUCCCAGAAGAUAAAACCAUCCAAAUCAGAGUUAGAGCUUGUGCUGACCCUGGCAGCGCUUUACUGAGGCUCAGCAAUGAAAUGCUGCUGUGGUUGUGUUUCAGAGUCACAGGGUCCAUCCAGUGUCACUGCAAAGAGAAGCUCUCCUGGAAUUUCAUGUAGUUCUGGAUCAGAAAUCUCGCAUGAUCCUGAUGUCAGUUGAAGGCCAUAUCUGAUCUUUCUAGGCUCUUACACACUGCCCUUGGAGUGGGCUGGGCCAACACUGCCCUCAAUUCCCAUGGAGGAAUCAGAACCUCAGAAAACUUCAGGAUCUUAUCUGAGUUCGGAAUUUGUACCACAGUUUAGCUUUGUGUUGAAAAGAUUAAACUCUCAGAGUACAUUUUGGGUUCCAGCAAAUAGUUACAUAGAAUUCCACUCUUUUAAUAACUUCACUCAUCUGCUCAGAGAGUCUCUCUCAAAAGAAGAGCCAAUUCCCUCACACAUUAACAUAUAGUUUUGGCCUCGUGCUUCCAUUUUUACUUUCAUGAGCAAUUUAAAAAUGUAUUCAGAAAUGGAACAGAAUCUUUGUGAGGAGUUAACUAAAUUCCUACUUUUGUUUCGAUUCUUUGUAUUAGGACCUUUGCAAUGUUCAUGCAUAGGUUUGAUUUUUUUUCUUCAUACUUCACUUUAAUACGUAAGUUCAGCCCUAAAGUUCUAUAUGCUAAGCAUAUGCAUGGUUAAACACAAAAGAAGAUACUGAUCAUGACCCCAUCCCCAGAUAACCACCUGUAACCCAAACAGACUGAGUGCCGCACCCUGCUGCCCUGGUGCACUGGUGGUCUGGAGUCCCUUGUGUUGCUGUGAUUGACAGAAUGACAGAAAAUGCAAGGCAAUACUUAUUAUCUCUUCAGUGGUAUUAUAAAUAGCAAGAGAUGAUGUGUAAUUUGGCCUCAUAUACAUUUUGUCUUUAUUAAAGCAGAUACUAAGUUGCAUGGACUUUUAUUCUUGUCACAGCUAAUGAAACAGUGCUUGAAAACUAUGUAGUAUGAGAAUAACUUUAUGUUUUCACACACAUCCUCAUCAAUACCAGUUGUUCUAGCGGUGAAAUUGUAAACACUUCACACAGCUGUUUUUCAGGUUGUAGUUUUUAUAUAUGAAGGCUAUUGCAAGAAUGAGUGAAAAAACAUAAUGUAACCAAUUGCGAUUGAUUCCCCCAGCCCAGUCACCUUUGGGGCAUGUGUGCAAUUUGCGCCAUUUUAUUUGAUAGAAGAGAAACAAUUCGUAUAGAAACUGAAGUAAUUGUCCUGCACCUUCCCAGGGGCAGCAGUGGUACGGGGGUCAGAGCUGUGCCACACAGCAUCUCCUGUAUGUGCUUGGGCAGGUAGGCAGCGACUAGCAAGAACUAGAAGACUAGAAGAACUGCUGCCAAAAUUGUAAUGGUGUUUUUAAUUCUUUCCAUUUCAAGCGAUACAUAUGAUUUCUUUAGCCGAUCUAAGCAAAUCAUCAGAUGCUUUGGAAGUGGGAUAUCAGUGCUGGAGGUUUGAUCUGGCAGCACCGUUUCUGCAUGGAAAGGAAUGCUUAUUUCAGCAGUAGUGAGGAAGACCUAUAGCAGUUAGUCAGUGUUGUAAAUAUUUUGAAAGGGAAUAAAAAGCCCAAACCAAAUGAUUUUUAUAAGCUCCAUAAAUUAAAAACAAACUCCAGGAGUAAAUGCCUUAACUUUCCUGCAUGGUUUCCUUGUGUAUAAGCUGUGAAGUCUUACCACACGUUGUACAGAGUCACUUUGGGAAAAGAAGCAAAAGAGACCUUGUGAGGAGACAACUGGGGUGCACCUGGUACUGCUUUCAGUUAACAGGGUCUUAUUUGCAAUGGGAAGCUCACUCAUUUGGAGCAGAGCCACUGUUUGGACAGGGAUUUUCCAGUUCCGCCACUGUGAUUAGAAAAGGUAUUUGAAAUCUUUUGUCUGCUUUAGUGCUCGAAUUAAUGCUCAGAUUCAUUUCCAAACUAUUUUCUUCUUUUUUUUUUUUACUUUUUCCCCAGGAAAUGUUUUAAUUCCGGGGCCUUUUUCAUAUGUUUGUUCAUUAAGUAGGGUAUUUCAUGGCCUCCAUGCAUUUAAUUGUGCUAGAAAGCUCCAAAAAUAUAAGUUCUGUAGGCAAGAUAAGAUUAAGAAUGAAGUAUUCAGAAAUUCUCAUUCUGACUCUUUCUGAUUCCUUCUGAGAUUGGUGUAACAGCAGUGCUCAUCAGUUAUCCUGUCUAACUGCAUCUGUCUGACAAAAACUCGCUGCUGCACGAGUUUCCCCCUCAAUGAAAAAUCUUUCUUCCAAAUAAAGAGAUACAAUGGAAUACAACAUUAAUUUAGAUGUUCUUUAAAUUGCAGCAGCAACACUGCCCCAAUUCCGGAAGCAGUUGAAGGACAGGAAUUAGCUCAUUCAUGCCUGACAGAGCUCUAGCUCCAAAACUGGAUUAUUAUUCAAACAAAUAUAAAUACCUUUAGUACAUCUUAUCUUUCAAUCUCCUCUACCUCAGCCCUCAUAAACUGAAUUUUUGUUGGAAGCUCUGUCAUUUAGAAAGAAAGAAAGAAAUGUGUCUGAGGACAUCUCCAGUCCUCCAGCAAUUCCACCCUCGGCAGCACUCAGCUCUGACUGGGAACGCUGCUCGUAAGUGUGGGUAACAUUACAUGGCCUACAGCACAGCACGAAAAUGGGAUCUAACGAUGUGGAUAAGUUUCGUAACUAGAAGAAUAGUAGAAUAAACAGCCACAGGAGGCUGGAGAAAUCAGCGUCACAAGGGACAGCCAAGACAAGAUCUAACGUCUAUCUUGCCUGCGAGAAUUUGAGUCAUGCAGGAGCUUGCUCACCCAAGAAAAUCUAUUCAUAGGGUCUCAUAAAACCAACUUAACUGCAGUGCACAAAUUAAAAAGCAAACAGUGGAAAUCCGUAUCGGUUCUCUUGCUUCCCUGCUCACUGCUGCAUAGCUCCAUAGGAGCGCUAUGGGAGCAGAGCACAGCAGAUCUCCCUGAGAGCUCUGGGAGUUCUACCUGCUGAGGAAAGAUAGGAUCUCAAGUGUCAAAAAUGCACAGCAGCUCUUUCAGUAGGAAACAUGCUUUGCUAAAAGGAACACUGGAAAUAAGUGACAGAUUCAGGGUUUGUCCUGGAAUCCUGCCCUGCCUGCAGCAAAUUCAAAUCCACUCUCUUGGUACAGAAAAGCUCCUCUGGAUUCAGCUCAGCACAGACGAUUAAAGAGUUCCUAUUCUGGAGCACCAGGAAUCUGGAUUUUAAAACAUAGCGCUUAAAGUUGGCCUAACAGGAAAAUGGAACGUGCUGAGUAAGACCCAGUCCUUCUCUCAGCUCCCUGCACAUAACCAGCCUGGGACUGUGAGCUGCUUGAAGAGCUCUGGCAGCCGCACACAGAGCAUGGGAGCAGCACAGCUUUCCAACAGCAGGCAGAACAAAGCUCCAGCCCAAUCUAUAGCCCAACAGAGCCUGCCCCAUCCCCACUCAUCUGCUGCUUUCCCCCAGCUAACAGACACACAGAAACAAACACCUCUCAACAGAGAAGCUCUAGCUACAGGUUUGAGAAGAACAUCUCAAGAGGAAAGGCAAGGGGUUGUUGGUGUGCCUCUCACCUGGCGGCUUUCGCGAGGCUUCUGAGCAGUGACCACAUUACCGUCAUCCAACAGAAGGGCUACUUUCUCAUGUUUAUUCCUGUAAACUACAAACAUAAGACACGCUGAAUCAUAAUUCAGAGAACAGAAACUCCUUGAAGAAAAAGAAAAAAGAAUUAAGUGAAAGCUUCCUCCCUCACUUUUUCUUCCUCCCUCCCACUUCAGCCUUGCAGUUACUUCACCAGAUCGUCAUGGUUUGGACAGCACACCUUGCUCUGCAUGUUGGGAACAGCAAGAAGUGCAAAAAAAAAUAAACCAUCACCCCAAAGAAACACCUCUUCCCAGACAAUACCCGAGUGGCAGCUCAAGCAAGUGAUUAGAGGAACCAAAAUGAGACAAUGAGGACUGGCUGAAGCCUCCAGCUCUGCUCUUGGCUGGGUUUCUCUUGGGGUUUUUGUUUUUGUUUUUCUCUGAGUCGCAGAGAAAGCCAAAAGACCAAUGUGAGUCCUUAUCCCUGUUGGCAGCACCAAGCCAGAUCCACUGGAAUGUCAGCCCUGCAUUUCAUCUGACUCAAAAUGUACCCUCAAAAUAAAACAAGCUACUUUUUUUAACCUAGUCGUAAAGUUUAUUAAAAUCGUUCAUUAAUGCUUCAAAUGUAGCAAGAAUGCAUAGAUCCCAAAAUAUACAUAUGUAUUUUCUUAUAGAAAUAGAUUAUUCUUUAUAAUAAAAAAAACUGUAGGAACAUCUUUAACAGAUUACUCAAUCCAUGACUGACAGUUACACGAGAUUGCAUCAUGUACACAGCAUUCCCAGCCAUGCUUAAAGGAUUGCAUCACUUCGCCCUCGCUCUCCUCUCGCCGUUUUAAAUAACCCCAGCGCCCAGCAGAGCCCUGGGGCCGCGGCCCCCCCCGCGCCGCCCGCCGCCCCCUGGCCCCGGGAGGGGGGGGGGGGGGGGGUUAGCAAAUAGAGACCGAAA